CGUUGGUGAACCAGCGGAGGGAUCAUUACUGAGUACUACACUCUCUACCCUUUGUGAACUAUUAUACCUGUUGCUUCGGCGGCGCCCGCAAGGGUGCCCGCCGGUCUCAUCAGAAUCUCUGUUUUCGAACCCGACGAUACUUCUGAGUGUUCUUAGCGAACUGUCAAAACUUUUAACAACGGAUCUCUUGGCUCCAGCAUCGAUGAAGAACGCAGCGAAACGCGAUAUGUAAUGUGAAUUGCAGAAUUCAGUGAAUCAUCGAAUCUUUGAACGCACAUGGCGCCUUCCAGUAUCCUGGGAGGCAUGCCUGUCCGAGCGUCGUUUCAACCCUCGAGCCCCUGUGGCCCGGCGUUGGGGAUCUGCCACGGCAGGCCCCUAAAACCAGUGGCGGACCCGAAGGCCCUCUCCUUUGCGCAGUAGCAUCAGCCUCGCAUUGGGAUCCCUCGGCGUCCUGCCUCUAAACCCCCCACAAGUCCGCUCCGGCGGCACC
rnacentral:misc_RNA from 1 species